rnacentral:rRNA from 1 species
AGUGGCGAACGGGUGCGUAACACGUGGAUACAUUCCGGAAAGCGGGGGAUAGCCCAGGGAAACUUGGAUUAAUACCGCAUGUGGUCGAGAGACUAAAGACGGGGAUCGAAAGACCUGUCACUUUCCGAUUGGUCCGCGGCCUAUCAGCUAGUUGGUGGGGUAAUGGCCCACCAAGGCGACGACGGGUAGCUGGUCUUAGAGGACGACCAGCCACACUGGAACUGAGACACGGUCCAGACACCUACGGGUGGCAGCAGUCGAGAAUCUUUCACAAUGGGGGCAACCCUGAUGGAGCGACGCCGCGUGGAGGAUGAAGGUCUUCGGAUUGUAAACUCCUGUCAUGCGUGAACAAGGUUGCUUGGAUAAUACCUGAGUAAAUUGAUGGUAGCGCAAGAGGAAGAGACGGCUAACUCUGUGCCAGCAGCCGCGGUAAUACAGAGGUCUCAAGCGUUGUUCGGAAUCACUGGGCGUAAAGGGUGCGUAGGUGGCGUGGCAAGUCAGAUGUGAAAGCCCGGGGCUCAACCUCGGAACUGCAUCCGAUACUGCCAUGCUAGAGUACUGGAGGGGUGACUAGAAUUCUCGGUGUAGCAGUGAAAUGCGUAGAUAUCGAGAGGAAUACCAAAGGCGUAGGCAGGUCACUGGACAGUUACUGACACUGAGGCACGAAGGCCAGGGGAGCGAACGGGAUUAGAUACCCCGGUAGUCCUGGCAGUAAACGGUGCAUACUUGGUGUG